rnacentral:rRNA from 1 species
GACGAACGCUGGCGGCGUGCUUAACACAUGCAAGUCGAACGGAAAGGCCCUGCUUUUGUGGGGUGCUCGAGUGGCGAACGGGUGAGUAACACGUGAGUAACCUGCCCUUGACUUUGGGAUAACUUCAGGAAACUGGGGCUAAUACCGGAUAGGAUCUCCUGCUGCAUGGUGGGGGUUGGAAAGUUUCGGCGGUUGGGGAUGGACUCGCGGCUUAUCAGCUUGUUGGUGGGGUAGUGGCUUACCAAGGCUUUGACGGGUAGCCGGCCUGAGAGGGUGACCGGCCACAUUGGGACUGAGAUACGGACCAGACUCCUACGGGAGGCAGCAGUGGGGAAUAUUGCACAAUGGGCGGAAGCCUGAUGCAGCAACGCCGCGUGCGGGAUGACGGCCUUCGGGUUGUAAACCGCUUUAGCCUGUGACGAAGCGUGAGUGACGGUAAUGGGUAAAGAAGCACCGACUAACUACGUG